GUUAAAUUUAUUUUGAUCACAGGCCAAAUGCAUUUCUCUAGUUUAUAAUAUCCUGCUUGAGGGCAGCUGAUACUGGUGUCAGUGGAGGCCGGGCUCACACAGGAUUUAGUCCCUCUGCAGGGAAAGCAGUUUAUUCACAACGCCCCUGGGUUCAGAUGCAGGCCUGUGGGACAGUGGUAGGCUGCCACCACCUCUCUCCCAAGGCCCUUGGAGAAUGUGUGUCCAUCCAAUGUGGGUGAGGGGUACACUGUGCACCUACUCUUCAAAGGUGCUGAUGAAAGUCAGAGACCCAGGAUCUGGACCUUUCUCUACAAUUGGUACAAAACCUCAGAAGUGCCCUUGAACACUGCACAGCACUAACUUGUAAGAACAGAGGUCUAGAGCCAUCUGCAGACCUACAGCAGGAAGCGCCUGAGAGGCACAGUAGUGUUAAUUUUGAGCGUAGUCUGAAUAGACCUCCGACGGUGGGCACCUGUGCAGCAGCUGCCCAGUCCUCCUGCCCAGCCAACUGUACCUUGCCUUGGACAUGGAUCUUCUAGGACAUGUAAGGUUUUUAAUCUUCCCAUAAAGGAACAAACUCUGGAGCCAUACAGACAGGUCCAGUCUUAGCUUAUAGAUAUCCUUUAUGUAUAGUAAGAUCAUCCUGGGAAAUUAAGUCACCAAAGAUACUCACUUUCUUCUCUUUUGAGCUCUGGUUUUAUAUAAUGUGCACUGAAAUUUACAAGGUGAAAUGCUUACACGCCACAUUCCUAAUUAGGCCAGGUUUUCUAGAUUUAACCCUAAAAGAUAAAUACAGAGCAUCUACACUGAAGAGCACAAUUGCACUGGUGUAUUUAAAAACUAUUGUAUGCUUACCAAAUUCAUUUGUAAGCAUAUAUUGUAUAAUGUAUUUCCUGGUGUUUUGAGGUGGGCUCUCAUGUAGCCCAGGCUGACCUCGAACUCAGAAUAGUCAAAGAAGACCUUCAAUUCCCAACGCUCCUGCCUCGGCCUUCCAAGUGCUGGGAUUAUAGCAAUAUGCUACUCCCAUACUCAAGGUAGUAGAAUGCUGAGAUUGUUUAAGUUCCAGUCUCUGUCUUCUCCAUCUACACUGGGUCCUGCUAGGGUACCCCAAAUUCCAAUUAGAUUUCUCUAUGGCCAUCUGAAAGAUAAUUAGGCAUUUAAUGUAUUUCUCUUUUUUAAAAUUAAUUUAUGUGAGUACACUGUUCCUCUCUUCAACUACACCAAUAGAGGGCAUCGGAUCCCAUUAGAGAUGGUUGUGAGCCACCAUGUGGUUGCUGGGAAUUGAACUCAGGACCUCUGGAAGAGCUCUAACUGCUGAGUCAUCUCUCCAGCCCCCAAGUUUAAUGUAUUUCUAGUAAGUAAUCUGCUCAGCAUUGAGUCUGGGAUUAACUGUUUGUAUUAAAUAACAGGCAUGGGGUUUUUAAGUCUUAUUCGUAGGACUAAGAAGACUGCUGACGUCCAUCUUAGAGGCCAGAGAGGGACAGAACUAGAACUACACCAGGUACAGGCUUCCUGCCUGCCAGCCCCAGCCCAGCUGGUUUGUUUUAUACUCACAACAGCUGACCUCACUUAGUGCAAAGAUCUUUUAAGGGGAUGCUACAAACCUGUGGGGGAAAAGCCUAAAUAACUAGGAGAGGGGCCACACAGGUCUUAAAGUGGUGCUACAGAAGGGAAAAGCCACAAAGCUAUUUCCUGACUUUAAAAUAAAGUAUGUAUUGUUUAGUUCAGUAAUUCAAAAGGACAUGCAAUAGCCGGGCAGUGGUGGCGCACACCUUUAAUCCCAGCACUUGGGAGGCAGAGACCCUUUCAUUGCAAAUUACUGCUUGAUCAUGUGAAUAUCAUUGUUAAAUCUCUUACAUAGGAGAGAUUGCGAGCUCAUGGUGGCUAAGAUUGGCCAGUGUGUUCUGGGGCAUCACUUGUGUGCAGUUUCUGCCUUGUUAAGCACUAACAGUUGGACAAGCUCCAGCCCUGGGAUCUCCUACGUGAAGUGGGAGAAGCUCAGCCCUGAGCUGCUUCUGCAGCAGUGUAGUGACCAGCAGCUGAGUGUUUACUUCACGCAGAGCCUUCACAAGUCACCUUGAGGAAGCCAGGCUGGUGGCUGGCACAUGCUCAGGCCUGUAAUCCCAACACUAGGAAGGCUGAGGCAGGUGGACUGCUAUAUAGAGUGAGACCCUGCCUCCUACAACCAAAUAUACAGAGUAAAGAGUAAAUCUGGAGGGAUACUUUGCUGAACUUAGUGCUUUAAAAUGGGAAAGAGUUGGGAUGCUGAUUUUUUAAAAAUCUAAAAUAAUGCAUUUGUGACUAUUAAUUGUUGCAACGAUCUGCCCCCUCAUUUCCCUGCAUUUACUACAAAAGCUAAGAUUGGCCAGAGUGGCCAGCCAGGGAUUAGCCAGGUGAUCAGCUCCAUGACAUGCCGUCUCAGAAGAAGAAUGCACAGGUGCAGUGGCUCUGUGGAUCACUGCUUCUGCUUUUAAAGUGACAGGGAAGCUGGGUGUGGUUGCACACGCCUUUAGUCCCAGCACUCAGAAGACAGAGAUAGAUGGAUCUCUUAAUUUGAGGCCAGCCUGGUCUACAAAGAGUUUCAGGACUGCCAGGGCUGUUACAUAGAGAAACCCUGUCUCAAAAUAAAUAAGUACAUAAAUAGAUAAAGUGACAGAGAGCAGGGCAUUUGAAGACUUUUCUAGGUAAUUCACACUGUUCAGAGUAUAAAGUCCCUACAGUGAAUUAGAUCUAGUUUUAAAAUAAAAAUGGCUACAUAAAACUGAUAGUUUUUCUUUUUCUUUUUUCCUUUUUUUCUCCCCAAUUAACAGUCUUUCACCUUAGGUACAUGGACCAAACCAAAGAGAACCUUCCCUUACUUCCCACCAAUAGUACCAAAGUAACGUUCCUGUUCCCGAGUCCUCUGGGAAGCAGAAAGGCUAGUGCAGCAGCUGUCAGGAACAAAGGCACAGGCAGAGGGAAAACAGCUGAGCGGGACAGUCUGCCGCUGGCCAGCUGGAGUCACGGAAUCCUGUCCCUCCCCACACGGGAUGUUCCGAUCACC
ensembl:lincRNA